GUACAACUUUCAACAACGGAUCUCUUGGCUCUCGCAUCGAUGAAGAACGCAGCGAAAUGCGAUAAGUAAUGUGAAUUGCAGAAUUCAGUGAAUCAUCGAAUCUUUGAACGCACCUUGCGCCCCUUGGUAUUCCGAGGGGCACGCCUGUUUGAGUGUCAUG
rnacentral:rRNA from 1 species